ACAACGGGAUGCUUAGUACGGCGAGUGAAGCGGCAAAAGCUCAAAUUUGAAAUCUGGUACCUUCGGUGCCCGAGUUGUAAUUUGGAGAGGGCAACUUUGGGGCCGUUCCUUGUCUAUGUUCCUUGGAACAGGACGUCAUAGAGGGUGAGAAUCCCGUGUGGCGAGGAGUGCGGUUCUUUGUAAAGUGCCUUCGAAGAGUCGAGUUGUUUGGGAAUGCAGCUCUAAGUGGGUGGUAAAUUCCAUCUAAAGCUAAAUAUUGGCGAGAGACCGAUAGCGAACAAGUACAGUGAUGGAAAGAUGAAAAGAACUUUGAAAAGAGAGUGAAAAAGUACGUGAAAUUGUUGAAAGGGAAGGGCAUUUGAUCAGACAUGGUGUUUUGUGCCCUCUGCUCCUUGUGGGUAGGGGAAUCUCGCAUUUCACUGGGCCAGCAUCAGUUUUGGUGGCAGGAUAAAUCCAUAGGAAUGUAGCUUGCCUCGGUAAGUAUUAUAGCCUGUGGGAAUACUGCCAGCUGGGACUGAGGACUGCGACGUAAGUCAAGGAUGCUGGCAUAAUGGUUAUAUGCCGCCCGUCUUGAAAACCGGGGACCAAA
rnacentral:rRNA from 1 species